GGGAUUUAGAACUACAUAGCGUUGCCCUUACAAGGCAGAUGUCGGGAGUUCAAAUCUCUCAACGCCCA
rnacentral:tRNA from 1 species